UGCUCUUCACACUUUUAUUUUCUUCUUCAUACGGUCUCUCUCUCCUUUCGCUCCCUCUCUCCGUCUCUCACACUCUCUCGCAGCCAGUGGACGUCGCCGGCUCUCGCCGCCUCUGGCGCGGCGAAGCCGGCACCCCUUCUCCCCCCUCCUUCCUUUCGUUCCCUACCUCUUUUCCUGAAUCUAAAAUCCCCAAAUUAAAAUAGAUCUAGGGAUUCCUAUUGUUAAUUCAUGUUCUCCGAUGAGUUCCGCCACUGCCGCCGCCAUCUCCAUCACACCACCGCUACCUCCGUCUCAGGUAAACCCCCUAUCUCUUUCUUUCUCUCUCUAUCUCACUUUCCUUCUCUUCUCUCUCUCUCAAUUUCUCUCUGCUCUCCCUUUCGAUCUCCCCCUCUGCCCUUCCUCUUGCUUGCGGCGACCGCAGCGCGCAUGCAGCGCCGGCGGUCGCCGCCGCCCCGCUCUCCUCUCACUCCCUCUAUGUCGCUCUGCUGUCUCUCCUGUCCAUCUCUCUCUCCUUGUGUCUCAGUCUCUUUCCCUCUCCCUCGCUCAAACUCUCUCUCUCUCUCUCUGCUACUGGCGGCCACCGCGGACCGCCGUGGCGUGGGCAGCGCUGGCGGUCGCUGCCGCCAGUCGCGCCUCCGCCGCGGUGGUUCGCGGUUGCUGUUGCUGCUGCCAUCCCUUCCCCUGUUCUAAUUCUUUUCCUUCUUCUUUUCUCUUUUUCCUUAUUUCUAUUGUAAUACCUUAACUUAACUCUCGUGUUUGAUAGCUUGUAAUAUGGCAUUAUUUCUAUUGUAAUACCUUAACUUAACUCUCGUGUUUGAUAGCUUGUAAUAUGGCAAGAUAGCAAAGGUAUAUAAUCCGUGUGUUUGGUACUCUUAAUACGUAUGCCACGAAGCCCGCGAAAAGGUGAGGCCCGGUCAUAUUUCACUGUUCCUUCGGUAAUACCCAUCCGCUCCCCCCCCUCCGAUACCUUUGCUACUUUAAUUUGAUAUUGAAAAUUGCCUUAAAUGCCCAUCGAUUUUUCAUUGAAAAUUCACCCAAGAAAGUUGAUUUUUCAUUCUUUCCAAGAAACAAAGAAGGGAUCGACUGGAACAGAAAAACGAUCCAACAUUCUUCCCAAAAUUCACCCAAGGAAAUUGAUUUUUCAUUCAACAUUCGUCGACCAUUCCAGCCUUCGACGACUAGCUACUGCCGCCCAGCCAUCGACGACCAGCUACCGCCGUCGCCGCAAUAAACCUCCAUCCCCCAACAAGAAAAACGCCACGGCCCACGAAGAAAUCGAGAGCCUCCAUUGACGACUAAAAAUUAAUUCUUGGGCGGUGGGUGGAAGGAAGGGAGGACGGCGACAAGGGAGGGGGAAGGGGAGGAUGGUGGCGGGGGAGGAUUCUGAUGGUUAUGAAUGAAACGCAAGGGGGGAAGAUUUCAUGUUGAGGAAGAAAGGGGAAGGGGGCUUUUGGGGAUGGGGUUGGGGGGAAACGUGUGACUUUUUGGAGAGAGAGGAGAAGACGUGUUUGAUAAAUUUGUCCUUAGAAAAAAGAAAUAGGGAUAAAUUUGUAAUUAAUUGUGUAAUCUGCCUGUUAGUACUAUGUAUCAUUGGACUGCAUAAUAUGCCCACCGUAUCAAACACCGAUCAAGUUUAAUUAAUAUGGACUUAUCUAUAAAAGGUAUCCUAUCAUAAUCUAUCUAGCAUUAUCCAUACCAAAAUAUCAAACACGCUAUGUUCUAUUUCAGGAGUUGAUCGGCGUCGUCGACUCCGGCAUGGCAGCUUCGUCUACUGCCUAAGAUUCUACAUUUUCUUCCUUUGUUUUUAUUAUUGAUUCGUUGUGAAACUGAAGUAUAAGGAUGAUGGGGAAAUUGGAAAUUAGAAUUAGAAAUGUGUUUGUAGCUAUGCUUGUAUCUAUUUAGUGUAUCUAUUCUGUUCUUGUUUACUGUUACAUAUAUGAUGAAUGAACUGUAAUAAAGAGAUACUACCUGCUUGGUGAUUGAAUUACUGUAACAGAAUUUUGGGGAUGAUUAAUAAUGGAUGAAUAUCUGGAUAGACAAUUUGCUGGUAUCGCCGAAUGAGGG
rnacentral:lncRNA from 1 species